GAUGAACGCUGGCGGCGUGCCUAAUACAUGCAAGUCGAGCGAAGCGGGGACGGGUGAGUAACACGUGGAUAACCUCCUAUAAGACUGGGAUAACCUCGGGAAACCGGAGCUAAUCCGGAGACUUAUCGCAGGAUCCGCGCUGCAUUAGCUAGUUGGUAAGGUAACGGCUUACCAAGGCAACGACGCAUAGCCGACCUGAGAGGGUGAUCAGCCACACUGGAACUGAGACACGGUCCAGACUCCUACGGGAGGCAGCAGUGGGGAAUCUUCCGCAAUGGGCGAAACCCUGACGGAGCAACGCCGCGUGAGUGAUGAAGGUCUUCGGAUUGUAAAGCUCUGUUAGUAGGGAAGCGGUACCUACUCAGAAAGCACCGGCUAACUACGUGCCAGCAGCCGCGGUAAUUC
rnacentral:rRNA from 1 species